UUCAUCUCAAUCAUUUGAGCAAAAAAUGACCCGCCUUUCAGAAUUCAUCACGUCAAGAGAAAGAACCAGCAGGCGUUUUAUUAGAUCUGAGUAGUGCGACUGGAGGGAUGGAUCGCCGCGCUGCACCGCGUUCUGCCCGCCAGCCGAUUGGCCAUAGGAGACUCAUUUUACUCGAACAUGUGGGCUGUUCCAACCCUGGUAUCACGGAAGCGUUCUUCUCGUUGUUAUUACUCGUAAUUCCGGGAUGAAUGAACGGUGAACUCGUUGAUAAGUGUGUGUAUGUGCUGGUGGUUAUUAACGUGGGUCCUACAAUCGCAAAGCGCGCGAAUAGGUGGUGCUCUUCUUACCUCCUCGCGCCCUCCUUAUCUCGACGUGUCUCGAGACCAGCGAUCACCCGAACCUGUCCGGGUAGAAAGGGCGAAGGGUCGCUCCUCCAUGAACACCUUGUCUCGAAGAGAUGUGCAUACAAGUAAAAAAAAAAGAAGAAGAAUCACCGGUGGUCAGAGAUGGUGGAGGUGGUGGUGUUGGUAGCGGGUGACGGAGGGUGCGUAAACACGUUUCAUUCCCUUCUUUUCUCCCUUCCGAAGAACACUAAUAAAAAAUACACCCACGCAGCAUGUUGGUGGAUCUCAUGAAGCGAUAUCUCCCGAGAACGUGCGCCGCGGACACGCUGCUGUGUUUCAUCAGCUCGAUGGCCUCAUUUUCCAAAAUACGGUUUUGAAGGGAAAUCUUGAAAAUCUGCAGGAAAUGUUUUUUUUUUUGUGCGCAGCAAGUCCAGUCUCCUGCGAAGUGCCCUAGCGAGGCGAUGAAGGAGGAGGAGGAGGCAGAAGCAGAAGCAGCAGCAGCAGCAGCAGCUCCAGCAGCGUGGGGCGGCAUGCAGACGCACCUGGCCGGGAAGGGCGCCUCCCUCUGGCAGACAAGAGACCUGCAGGCGGAAUGACAAGCAUCGAGCGGUCUCUACACGGCCACUGCGUAAAACGGGGUCCCAGUGGCCAACGAGGGAAAUCUAUUCAAAUGCAAUUGAAGGAAUGAAGAAAAGUUAAAAGCCC
ensembl:lncRNA